UACGGAGGAUCCAAGCGUUAUCCGGAAUCAUUGGGUUUAAAGGGUCCGUAGGCGGUUUAAUAAGUCAGUGGUGAAAGCCCAUCGCUCAACGGUGGAACGGCCAUUGAUACUGUUAGACUUGAAUUAUUAGGAAGUAACUAGAAUAUGUAGUGUAGCGGUGAAAUGCUUAGAGAUUACAUGGAAUACCAAUUGCGAAGGCAGGUUACUACUAAUUGAUUGACGCUGAUGGACGAAAGCGUGGGUAGCGAAC
rnacentral:rRNA from 2 species